AGCAAAGCAACUCCACUUAUAGCCUACAACUUAUACAGUUAAACCAAAUUCUUUUGAAAAGCUUGUUUAAGAACAAAUUUAAGAUUUUGUUCAAUUUGUUCAUGUUUUUCACCCAUUGACAAAGUUAAACUACUAUGGCCAAACCAUCACGUCAAUAAACACACAGUAAUAUACACUGAAAGUCAAGAUUACAUUAUGUAUUAUAGCGAACUGACAGGAUUUUACCGUUUUGAUCAACGUCGACGCACCAUUUUGACUAGUUCACAGUUCCCGGUUUCAAUGGCCGCUCAAUGUUGUGAGAACAUACUCUGACAAAACCCAUUCUAGUCGUUUUCAAAAAUCUCUCUCCUCUUCGCUUCGGUUUUGUUGUAUUUUCGACACAUAUCCUUUCAUGAGCGCCGCAAACACGGACUCGUCUCAAGCGCCAUUCCAGCUGUUUCCAGUUCCCGAUCACAGUCACUGGUGCAGUUUUAAACGAACACACUCCAGACAGUUUCAGAGUUGUCCCUCGUCUGCGCUUCGAAUAUUUUUUCCUAUUUUCCACACGUUUCCAUCGCACCGCAGCAGACACGGGCUGCAUCCGAAACCGCCUACUUCUCUACUAUAUAUUAGGCGAAAAGCAGUAGGCGAGCGAAGAAGUAUGUCCGAAACCUCAGUAUUCAUAAAAGAGUAGUCGAGAAGUUCCCGGAUGUCCUACUGCUUCAGCCCAGAUUCUUGAGUGCUCAUCGAUGGAUACUUUUCAAUCCCAGAAGCCCACGGGAGAUCAAUACGUCAUCAUCGAACGUGAUGGAGAACAGCGACGCGGGUGUUUACAAAUAUGAGACACGUGUGUUUAUCCGGUGAAGAGUGACUGAUGGAGGAAUGCUGCCAUCAAAGGCUUUGAGGACACCAAUCCCCCCGCAGCAGCUCGGAGUAAAGACACCGUGGUGACGACUGCGGAGAUCAAACCAGCAACCUUCUGCUGACCAGUUCAUUACACCACAAAAGUAGUUGUUCUCAUAGAGAGCAGGCACACAGAUGUUUGGAGCACACACAGCAGCAGCCAGAUUGUCCCGCACGCGUUCUUCUGCUCUUGUUCAAGAUUGUGUGGUUCAGGGAGCCUCAUCCUCUCUGUACUCUCAGACAAUGAUAGCCUCGAUGUCCCUUUCUCAUCCAUGAUCAGAUUCAGUGUGACUGCAGCAGUGAGGGACGUGAUGGACGGCAGAGACAGGUGAAGGUGGACGCGGUGGUCAACUGCUUCAUCAGAAUAAAGCUGCAGAACUGGACCAGCUGUGUUGAGAUGGCAGUAGGAUGUGGGCUCACCGUCUGUAAAUACAUGAUUGUUAAAACAAUAUGUUUGUAUAAAGCUUUGUUUCAUGUGUUGUUGACUUGUAUUUAUUUAUUGUCAUGGUUACUUUUAUUUACAUUUUACUAAUUUAUUCAUGUUUCCUGUUGUUGUCAGUAAAUAAAAUAUAAUUGUUUCAUUAACACAUGCAUUAAUUCAUUACUUGUCUGAAAAUUGAGAUGUAUUCACUUUGGCUGCAUUUGUCUAGUGUGUGUAGUCAUGCAUAGCUAUGGCAUAUGAAAAAGCAAAUUACAUUUUGCUUGUUUUACUAAAAAAAAAAAAUUAUUGGUCAGCAUUUAUCAUUAUUAUUGUUCAUAAGUGUUGGGCUACCACUGCUUUCUGAGGUAAUCUUAAUUUCUAAGUAGUAAUACUCACAUUUUUCG